UAGGGAAUCUUCGGCAAUGGACGAAAGUCUGACCGAGCAACGCCGCGUGAGUGAAGAAGGUUUUCGGAUCGUAAAACUCUGUUGUUAGAGAAGAACAAGGACGUUAGUAACUGAACGUCCCCUGACGGUAUCUAACCAGAAAGCCACGGCUAACUACGUGCCAGCAGCCGCGGUAAUACGUAGGUGGCAAGCGUUGUCCGGAUUGAUUGGGCGUAAAGCGAGCGCAGGCGGUUUCUUAAGUCUGAUGUGAAAGCCCCCGGCUCAACCGGGGAGGGUCAUUGGCAACUGGGAGCCUUGAGUGCAGAAGAGGAGAGUGGAAUUCGAUGUGUAGCGUUGAUAUGCGUACAUAUAUGGAGGAACACCAGUGGCGAAGGCGGCUCUCUGGUCUGUAACUGACGCUGAGGCUCGAAAGCGUGGGGAGCAAACAGG
rnacentral:rRNA from 1 species